AUUGAACGCUGGCGGCAUGCCUUACACAUGCAAGUCGAACGGCAGCGCGGACUUCGGUCUGGCGGCGAGUGGCGAACGGGUGAGUAAUGUAUCGGAACGUGCCCUAGAGUGGGGGAUAACGUAGCGAAAGUUACGCUAAUACCGCAUACGAUCUACGGAUGAAAGUGGGGGACCGCAAGGCCUCACGCUCAUGGAGCGGCCGAUAUCUGAUUAGCUAGUUGGUAGGGUAAAAGCCUACCAAGGCGACGAUCAGUAGCUGGUCUGAGAGGACGACCAGCCACACUGGGACUGAGACACGGCCCAGACUCCUACGGGAGGCAGCAGUGGGGAAUUUUGGACAAUGGGGGAAACCCUGAUCCAGCAAUGCCGCGUGUGUGAAGAAGGCCUUCGGGUUGUAAAGCACUUUUGUCAGGAACGAAACGGUGGGGGCUAAUAUCCUCUGCUAAUGACGGUACCUGAAGAAUAAGCACCGGCUAACUACGUGCCAGCAGCCGCGGUAAUACGUAGGGUGCGAGCGUUAAUCGGAAUUACUGGGCGUAAAGCGUGCGCAGGCGGUUGUGCAAGACAGAUGUGAAAUCCCCGGGCUUAACCUGGGAAUUGCAUUUGUGACUGCACGGCUAGAGUGUGUCAGAGGGGGGUAGAAUUCCACGUGUAGCAG
rnacentral:rRNA from 1 species